ensembl:lncRNA
CCCCCAGCUGCCCCUCCCCUGACACAGCUCCAUGCGGUUCCCUCCGGCCCUGUUGCUGUCACAGAGAGCAGAGCUCAGCGCUGCCCCUCCACUCCCCUCCUAAGGAGCUAGUCACUCUCAGAUGUGGAAGGCAAAGAGAUGGAUACGGUGAAUUUCAGUUCAUGUGGCACAGUGAAGCAACCUGCCAUUCAGUAGCAGACAGUGAGAUGCUCUCUUCUCUCACCAAUGGGAACAUCAGCCUGGGGUUACUGCUCCCUGGAAGCAGGAGGAGGAUUAACGAAUUAAAGAAUGGGAAAUGUCCCCAAAAGGCAAAAAUCCUUCUUUGGCUUUUCACAUCAGUGUGAGUAUAGAGGGGAGGAAUAUUCAGCACAGGAAUUCUUGGGGAAGGGCAGGCCUGUGGGUGCUCAUGGAGAUAUGCUGCCAGGAUCCUGCAGCCCAGAGCACCCCCAUGGCACUCAGAGGAACAAGCAUGCACUGAUUUUGGCAGAGGAUAAAUGUGCCCAGAGGGAGCCAACACUGAGUCAUGGCAUUACUAGAAUGCCAGCUCUAGCUGCUGUUUCAUGGUGUAUGGCACAUGAAAGAAGAACUGCUUUGGUCUUCUCCAUCCUGGUUUGUAAAACAUUUGUAAAAUGUUGUGGAUAGGCUCAUCUGUAUGCAAAAUCUCAUGGUGCUUCUCUAUGUUCUGCUUUGAAAGGAUGGACAGGGCUGUGGGAUGGAGGCAUGAAAGUUGCCUAAAAACCUAUGAAAGCACAGUGGAAAACCCUGUGCCAUCACCCCUCGGUGUUACUGUUAUUGUACCUACGUUGGGCUUAGAGCCCAGUUUGUUACUGCCCGGGAAAAGACUGCGUUUUUACCAAAGCCCCCUCACUGACCUACCUAAAAUGACAGACACACCUUCCUUAUGCUUGAGUAAGAUGAGGGAUUGGUCUAAAGUUGUAACUCUGAACCUACUGCAGCCAACAAUAAAACCAGCAUUCACAAUACAAUGGGACUGAUUAAGUCCUCCAAGGAACGAUGUGGAGAUUGAUCUCCCAGGCACAAAGCAACCAACAUAAUCCGUGACUGGAGAUGCAACAGCCUUGGUGGUGGGCAUAGUCACACUUCUGAGAGACCAACUUCUCCAUAGAGACAUGUUUUGCUUUGAUUGACAUAACUUUAAAAACAUUCCCUCACCUAAAAGAAAU